GUCCCAACUUUCAAUUCGAUACACAUCCAUUGUACUCCAGUUCCAUCUCAUCCUACAAAUCCUAACCCGAAUCUUUCUCUGUCCAUUAAACCCCUAAAACUCGAAGAUGUGCUCUUCAAUAUCACCUUCUUCGCUUUCAUUGCCCUCAAAUGUCCCCUUGUUAUUUCACCGUCGUUUCAAUUUCAGUUUUUAUGCAAACCCAUAUUUAGUCAGGCCCAGAAACUCUAGGACCUUUUCAGUAGCAACUUCGAUUGCUGAGAAUUUUUCAAGUGUUGAAUUGAGUUGGGUUUCUUGGGACAAUAAUACUCCUGAUGAGUUUAAUGGUUGGGCCAUUCGGGAAGCUGUUCCCAAGACAAUAAAGGAGAAUAAUACAGAUUUGAUCUUUGAGCUUUUUAUGAGCCCUGAUGUUGACGGUAAAUUUUGGCAAUUCGAGGCUGAUUAUGAAAUGUGCUUUUGAAGGUUUGACUACAGCGUUGGUAAUUGGCAUUGGAGCUUCAGUGACUGCAUUGCUUGAUUUUAUUACCUAUUCUUCACUCUUAAGAAAAGGUUUUAGGUUUCAACUCAGAAGUCCAUUUAAUGGUUUACAUGGGAUUUCUCUAAUGUCUUCAAUUGAUGAAAUAAACGCUGCUAGUGAAAAGGUUAGUUCCGAUGUGUCAUUGGGAUAUGAGGAGUGCCUAAAGACAGUUUAGAGGAAGAGUACGAGGCAGCCAAUGACAGCAUGACAACAGAUACGAGCCAU